rnacentral:rRNA from 1 species
ACUCCUACGGGAGGCAGCAGUGGGGAAUAUUGCACAAUGGGCGCAAGCCUGAUGCAGCCAUGCCGCGUGUAUGAAGAAGGCCUUCGGGUUGUAAAGUACUUUCAGCAGUGAGGAAGGCGGGUACGUUAAUAGCGUGCUCGUUUGACGUUAGCUGCAGAAGAAGCACCGGCUAACUCCGUGCCAGCAGCCGCGGUAAUACGGAGGGUGCGAGCGUUAAUCGGAAUUACUGGGCGUAAAGCGCAUGCAGGUGGUUUGUUAAGUCAGAUGUGAAAGCCCGGGGGCUCAACCUCGGAAUUGCAUUUGAAACUGGCAGACUAGAGUACUGUAGAGGGGGUAGAAUUUCAGGUGUAGCGGUGAAAUGCGUAGAGAUCUGAAGGAAUACCGGUGGCGAAGGCGGCCCCCUGGACAGAUACUGACACUCAGAUGCGAAAGCGUGGGGAGCAAACAGGAUUAGAUACCCUGGUAGCACAGAG